AUUGAACGCUGGCGGCAUGCUUUACACAUGCAAGUCGAACGGCAGCGCGGGCUUCGGCCUGGCGGCGAGUGGCGAACGGGUGAGUAAUACAUCGGAACGUGCCCAGUAGUGGGGGAUAGCUCGGCGAAAGCCGGAUUAAUACCGCAUACGACCUGAGGGUGAAAGCGGGGGAUCUUCGGACCUCGCGCUAUUGGAGCGGCCGAUGGCAGAUUAGCUAGUUGGUGGGGUAAAGGCCUACCAAGGCGACGAUCUGUAGCUGGUCUGAGAGGACGACCAGCCACACUGGGACUGAGACACGGCCCAGACUCCUACGGGAGGCAGCAGUGGGGAAUUUUGGACAAUGGGCGAAAGCCUGAUCCAGCAAUGCCGCGUGUGUGAUGAAGGCCUUCGGGUUGUAAAGCACUUUUGGCGGGAACGAAAGGGACUGUGCCAAUU
rnacentral:rRNA from 1 species